GCGGCAGGGGGGGGGGUGUGGAGGAGGCCAGCUGUGGUCCAGCUUGUUAUUGUUAUACAGUGGGCAUUCUGCUGAGGACGUCCAUGGCUACGCUAUAUCUUCUCCCAGAGUUUGUGUUUUUAUGCCCAGAUGUAUGAUCCACUGGCGUUUGCUUUCAGCACAGGGUGAGAGAGAUGGGCAGAGUCGAUCUUGCGCACGUGGACCACCAGUUUUCCCAGCGCCCUUUUUCCAUGGCCUGUGUUUUCUCCAGCCUAGGUUAUUGGCUCCUUUGCCCAAGAUCCAGUGGCUGAAGGUUUUUGGGGUUGUUUCUGCACCCUCUAUUCUGUUCCCUGUGUCCAGCUGUCUGUGUGCGUGCAUUGGUACCAUUCUGUCUCUCGUGGUCUGCCCAGGGACGGAAGUGAGGAAGUCUUCCCGUUCCUUAGGAGACAGUCUGAGUCUCCCGAGGAUGUUCCCCCCGGGUGUCCUGUUGUCUCACUGAGAGAGCCAUUCAUUCACUUCCAUUGGCUCCGGGGUUUGUACUGGGUCUUGAGGUGAGUUCAGGUCAUGACUGUUGUAUGUGUGCGUGUGUGUGUUUGUGUUUGCAGGACCUGAAGACCACCUGGAACCAAGAGGAAGUGGCGUGGGAGGCCGUUUCCGCCUGCUCCAGUACGUCUAGCAAACCUGAAGACUCCAUCCAGAGAGAACACUGGUGAACCUGCUCCUCAGUGGCACAGGACAUGACUGGGCUCCCCUGCUGGCUGGGAGGCUAACAAUGGUAGACCCAGUGCCCUUGGGCCAUUGCAAAAGCAGCUCUACCAUAAGCAAGAGCACUGGUUCUUGGGUGUGCUGACUGACAGUGCCUGCUCGUUCAAACACGUGACAGCUGGAUAGAGACGUGCUGAGUGAAGUUCCUGCCGACCUUGUUCCAAAUGGCGUAGGCUGUUACGUUGGAGAGGUUGGUGCUACCUUCCCCGAGAUGGGGUCUAACAGCCCGCUACGGUCUUCUCAACACUCUUCAACGAGAAGCACCAUUGCUACAUGUGUGAGGUAACAUCAGAGCCUCACAUUUCAGAAGCGCCUCUUUUCAUCCUGCUCUUUUCUGGAUUUCACAAUACAUUCAUUUAGGGAAUUUUAGGCAUCAGGGGAAUGGAUCCAAAACCUGAGUCACCAUUUUUGUUCUGGCUGCAAGCUGCUAAUAAUUCUCCAAUCAGUAGGGACAGGGGAAGCUUCAGUUAAUCAUCAGGCUCUUCAGAUCCCUGCUGGAAGAAAUCAGGCUCUUGCUAGGAUUCUAGGACACAGGGAGAUGUCACCCAUGGAGAGUCAUACCUGCAGCUGUCUCUGCAGCCAGCAGAAAAAAUAGUUCUGAGUGGACCAAAGAAAGGGAGAGAGAGAGCCUGGAGAGAAGAAGGAAGCAAAUGCGGGGUAAAUGGUCCUCAAGACAAAGGAAGUCCUAGGAGCCUUUUGCUGACUCUUGUUCCUGGCUUCCUGAGUCUACCCCUUGGCUUCCCAGGGAAACAGCUAUCCACAGCCUUGCAACAAUCUCCAGCUUUCCACUGUGGUCUCUUCACUGCUGUCUCGACAACCCCACAAGGGCUCCUUCCCCACACUCAGCACCUCUACCUCUCAAACUGUAGCUGUCUAACAUUGAAAAGGUGAUGCUGGCUGGGGAUUUCGCUCAAUGGUGCCACCUCCUGCCUCAUAAGCGCAAGGUCCCAAGUUCGAUCCUAGGUACCAAAAAAAAAAAAAGAACAGAAAAAGAGAAAAUGUGAUGCUGAAGGAUCAUUGUUGUAAAUUCUUCUAUUUUGAUGCUGUUUUGUAUCUAUUCUUACAUAGGUUGACUUUCUCAGGCUGGAAGCAAGACUCAGUUGGCAGUUUCCAGUUCUCACCUGGUCCUGGUUCUUCCACAUUACUGAUCCAGGUGUUUGCCUUCCACACUGCAUUGUGGUAGCCACUCGACCAGUAGGCACAACCUGCUGGACUCCUGCCACCACGUCAUGUGCUCACGGAUGGGGCAGGUGUUUGUAGUGGGCUCUCAGUCACAGCAUGACUCCAUAGCACUUGUGCCUGCUUGCUCUAAACCAAACAAUUAGACAGUUCACAGAGAUUAUUGUGUUUUCCUUACGCUGCUGCCCAUCAGCUUUUCAAAAAUUAUAUUUAGGAGGAUUUAAAAAGAGGGAGGAUUGUGAAGUGCUGUGUACAUGCACUAAGUCCCUGAGAGGAAUGUGAUCAUCAUGCAAUACAAACAUAUCUCUGUGUAUAUAUCUGUCUCCAGGAGAUGCAGAGAGGGAGAGGGAGGGGAGGGAAGUGGGUACAAAAAAAAAGAAUUAAGAAAUGUCAUGUACACAUACUAACUCCCCACUACAAACAUGAACGAAACUAGAUUAUGAACACAAUUUUUAAAACUGACACAUAUUCAAAGUCCACCUGAAAUUUUGCUAACUUUUUUUUUUUUUUUUUUUGGUACCGGGGAUGGAACUCGGGUUCUUGCAUUUGUGAGGCAGGUGGUAGAAACACUGAGCUAAAUUCCUGGCCCUGCUAAUUUAUUUUUUGUAAUUAUUAGUAACGUAUCAAAAUAUUUCCUCUUUUCAAUAAAAGGAUUAUAAAUUAUAUUUGUCUAAGUAUGAAGAAAAUGCUAAAGAAAAACUAAAAG
ensembl:lncRNA